rnacentral:lncRNA from 1 species
UGGGCAGACAUUCCCGCAGACUGUGAUGGAGCCACCAGUGACAUUGAACUUGGGUGCUUGGCUGCAGGAAGUAGCACCACCUAGGAACCCUGAGGCCACGAUGCAGCUCGUCGGGCUGGGUGUGGGCUCCGAACCUCCAACCCAGGCCUGGCCAGGCACUGCUGGCCUCAGGUCAUGGACCUGGCUUGGGGGAGCAGUGCAGGUUUAUCAGACCCAGAUCCAUCUGUAAACGGCACCUGAACAGAUCAUGAUUGUUCCCCAAAGACAGUUUGUGAUGCGCCAUCUGUCCCCUUCCAGUGGGAAUGGAACCCUUGUCCCUCCUGUCACAGGGAGCAGGAUGACCAGCGCAGCAGCCCCUUCGGUCCUCUGCCAGCCUGGGUCAGGUGGCUGCACCUCCGCACUGAGGGCCUGUGCGAGGGCUGGGCUAGAGUGUGUGGCCCCGUGCCCACUGGGCCAUCGUGGCCUGCAUGGAUGACAGGCGAGGGAGGGGUCAUGCAAGGCCAUUGUGGGCUUGUGCUUGAACCCUCUCAGUUCAUUGGCUGAAAUCUCAAUGAGCCACCGGUGUGAGCACAGAGCACUUCCUAAGGAAGCAUCACCCAGAAGACUCCUGUGGCAGGGUCCCCAGUGCGGACAGGGAAGCCAUCAACAUGCCCAGCAGAGCAAGAGGCAGCCGAGGGCUUCGUGGGGCCCUGCCGUCAGCUUGCAGGUGCCAGAAUUGCUGGCGUACGCGGCCUCACUGAGCAGAGCAGCCCUGGCCCCUGUGAACACACAGCCCUCAAGGGCAGGGGCUGGCUGCAGGACUGUCUGUCCACCAUCUCCCCUGACCAGGGGGUCUACGCCGAGAUGGCCUCUUUGUCCUGCUGUGUUCCAUAGGGUGGACCCUCCUCAGACACCCGAUCAGCAGGCAAGGAGUGCACUGGCCUCGCCCUCCCCAGCCACCCCACCAGGAACCUCCUUCAACAACAUUCUGCACAUGAACUUCAAAAAAAUCGCCCGAGAGCUACAGUCAACUGUCUGCUUGUCCUUUAGUUAUUCAUGGAAAGUGGGUCCAGCUCUCCAUGACGUGAAUUGUAAGAGGAUGUGCCCAAAGGCUACGGGAAUCCCAUGGUUUGCGGUCUGCCCCCCUCUUCUGAUCUUGGAAGCCCUGGAAUGGCAGUCAUCCCCUCACAGGCGUUCAACACACACGUAACCCCCACUGAACUCUGAGCUUUCGUCGCCUGUUUUUUAAAGGCACAACACCCCACCUGCCACCAUUCUAUCUGUCCGGUUGAUAACAGAGGCCUACCUGGUGCCAGCCGGACAACGCAUAGGAAGGAUGACCACCGUCCUCUCGGUGGGUCCUGCACAGCAGCUGUGGGCUGCGUUUCCUGAUGCCCGAAUCUGGGGCCCUUGCUUUCUCUCAGUUCUGCAUGGGACAAUUUGUCACUCUGAGGAUGGGGUCACAGCAUUGCAGGCCAUGUUCCUGCUCCACCUGUCUGCAGCCUAGAGACACCAGCUGACCUGUCCCAUGAAGGCCAGGCCCUGUUCUCUGGGGUCCCCCUAAACGCCCUCCCCAGCACUGUCAGCCUCUGGACACCCCACCGCCCCCCCGCUCCAGCAGCACCUUCUGGCCUUGGUGUGCGACUGAUGGGCCAGACCCUGCCCGAGAAAGACCUGGCCACUGGCAUCCCUGCCCCAUGAGGCAGCCUGGCUGGGAGGGCGCCCCAGGAGAGCCUCACGCUCGCGUCUCAACCCCAAAGGCAAUAACUGUCCCGACAGCUCAGCACUUCACCCUGGACAAGGCCGGGCCCUUGGCACCCACUUACGAACAAGGUCUUUUGUAAUGAACGUUUUUCAAAAUAUUGUGCAUUACAUCAUAAAGCUAAUGUUAAAUAUUUGCUAUUCCGAUCAGCUAAUCCUGCACAAAGGUAGCACUGUAUAUUUUAUCUAACAUUUCUGUGCCAAAAAGUUCAUUUUAAUGUUUCUGUAACAGUUUAUGUUUCUGUAACAAAGCCUCGGCUACUGGAUCAUAGGAACGAGGUGCACCCUCAGGCUCCUAGCUCCAAGCAGACCAGACCCCACAGCUCGCCCCAGUCCUCGAAGGGCUCCGGUUCCCCCGUGUGUCUCGUGACAGCCACGUCUCAAUUUUGGGGGCUCAAAGUUCUGUCCCUCAAUUAUUACAAGUUCAACAGGCCUCCCUGGACCUGAAGGUUGUAUUAGGAGAGAAAUCCACAUUCUCUCAAAGUGGGUGAACCUGUGCCACGGGGACACCCACUAGAAGCCGCUGGAGGCCCAGGGCUCUGCUUCCCUCCACUGCCCGUGUCCCACCCUGCUUGGAAGCCACUAGCUGACCCAUGCAGGCCAUCCCCGGUUCUCUGCCUGGAGAGCGGGGAUUCCGAGGGUGGCAGAGGAACUAACUGGCCUUUCAUCAUCUCAGUCACCUAGAAAGGAUGGCGUGACCACUGCAGCCUGGGCAGGGGGGGGUGGGCCUCACCUGGCCCUGACAGAGGAGUCUUGAGCACAGACCCUGGGCCCCCGAGCCUGGGCAGAGGUGACCAGGGCACAGAAUGGGCCUCAGUGGGCAGGCUCCUAACUACCCUCUUACGUUAUGGUUUACACGAUAGAAUUUUUAAACAAAAAUGUUUAAUUUUCUAAAAUCUCUUGUAUUAAAAUUUUCUUUUGGAAUAAGCUGUGGUAAUUUUGUUACAAUCUGGUUGAUUAAACCUCUUUACAGUGACAAAAUAAAAACGGCGACAUUUUGUAAGUCACAUGCUCACUCUGAUGUCUCAGCUCUUU